GAUGAACGCUAGCGGCAGGCCUAACACAUGCAAGUCGAGGGGUAGAAGCUUUCGGGCUUUGAGACCGGCGUACGGGUGCGUAACGCGUAUGCAAUCUGCCUUGUACUGAGGGAUAGCCCAGAGAAAUUUGGAUUAACACCUCAUAGUAUUUUAGUGUGGCAUCACAUUAUUAUUAAAGGUUACGGUACAAGAUGAGCAUGCGUCCCAUUAGCUAGUUGGUAUGGUAACGGCAUACCAAGGCUACGAUGGGUAGGGGUCCUGAGAGGGAGAUCCCCCACACUGGUACUGAGACACGGACCAGACUCCUACGGGAGGCAGCAGUGAGGAAUAUUGGUCAAUGGUCGCAAGACUGAACCAGCCAUGCCGCGUGCAGGAUGAAGCAUCUAUGGUGUGUAAACUGCUUUUGUACGGGAAGAAACACCGCUACGUGUAGCGGCUUGACGGUACCGUAAGAAUAAGGAUCGGCUAACUCCGUGCCAGCCGCCGCCGUAAUAC
rnacentral:rRNA from 1 species